rnacentral:lncRNA from 1 species
UUUUUUUUUUUCCCCUCUCGCUGUGCAAAUGCAGAUAGCACAGCCUGCUCUGGCCAGGCAAGAAAACGCCGCCGUAGCUCGGGGUACAGCUGUGGACUACCCGGCUUACAGAAAGCCCGGAGCUGCUGUAUCCCUGCCCUACAGAUCUCCAUCCCAGUUGCUCGUUCCAGCUCACUCUCAGCAGUGCCUCAGCGCUCCCGCCCGCAUGGCCGCACCGGGAGGCAGCAGCAGCACCUAGCGGUACCAGCGGCACCGAGCGGCACCAGCAUUCCCUGCAGCCGGGAAACAGUUCCACACUCACUGCUUUCCUCGGGAGAUCCCACCAUUUUUCUGUCUUUUUUCGAAGCAUCUGAACGGCAUCGCUUUGCAUCGCGAGCCUUUUGCUCAAGGGAGCUGAGUAGUUCCCUUGUUUGGCCAGAGAUUUCAGGGAGGCCCCCCUGUGUGUUGGUGUUAUGCUAUUUGGACGCAAGCGGCCCCAGCAAUCGCUGCAGCAUUUUGAUUCAGGACUCUGAGCAAUGCGUGACUGUGGAGCUGUGGUUCAGCGUGCUGCUCUAUCCCUGAGGCCUGCGUAACCAAACUGCCUUCUCUACAGCACAGCUGAGAAACAAAGCCAGUAGUGCCCCACCACAGCAGCACAGAUCUGUGCUGUGUCCUGCUCCCAACAUCCAGCCUGCCUGACAUCAACAUUUAACAUGUAAGUUAUUAAACUGAAAGCUAUCACCCUGAUUAUUGGGGGAAACAGAGGAACUUGGAAGUUAUUUACCAUUCACCUGGUGGUUAAUACAGUGCCCCAAGAAGAUGCUGUGACAACAAAUCAGGGGCUUUCUGUAGGUCUCCAGGAAAGAUGGGGAUGCAAAAAAAGAGUGGCAAAUGAGCCACUGCUGUGCAUGGGGCAGUUUGCUCUGCAGUUCUGCCUGACUCAAGGCUUAUCCCAGAGUGGGAGUUCUGAACAGAACACACGGCCACAUCGUGUUUUGUUUGUUCUCAUUGCCUGUCCCCAACUUUCCAGCGUCAGUUUUAAAGUGGAAAUCAGAUCACAAACGCUAUACAUACAAAUGAUGUAUUGACUAUUUCAGGUGAGCUGUGCCAAAAAGGGGCUACUGCGUGAAACAAUAUAGUGAUACAGUUGCCUGAUUAAGGGAGAACUGAGAAAUUAAAAAUAGGAAGUAGUUACAUAUUGUGUAACGAUCAUCUCUAUGCUGUUACUUCUCUGAGAUGUGAACUGUGAAACAUCCAGUGCUGCUGCAAUUGGCAGCCUCAGGAUUGAUAAGCCACAGUACAAUGUCACUGUUUUCCUAUACUCAUAAAGCACUGCCAACAUCAGUGACUGGAUCAGUUUACGGGAGGAAAAAAAAACAACAAAACAAUCCCAGCCUCAUUAUAUACGUGCACAUCCAUAUGCAGCGGUAUCAACGCGGGCCAUUCUACCGGAGGAUCCAGCAGAUAAAUAACCGAGGCUCUUAUCUCG